rnacentral:rRNA from 1 species
UACGGGGGGGGGCAAGCGUUGUUCGGAAUUACUGGGCGUAAAGGGCUCGUAGGCGGCCAACUAAGUCAGACGUGAAAUCCCUCGGCUUAACCUGGGAACUGCAUCCGAUACUGGAUGGCUUGAAUUCGGGAGAGGGAUGCAGAAUUCCAGGUGUAGCGGUGAAAUGCGUAGAUAUCGGGAGGAACACCAGUGGCGAAGGCGGCGCCUGGGCCAAUACUGACGCUGAGGUGCGAAAGCGUGGGGAGCAAACAGG